AGUUGAGCGGAGAUAUAUGGAGCUUGCUUUAUAUAACUUAGCAGCGAACGGGUGAGUAACACGUAGAUAAUCUAUCCUAUACUGGGGGAUAGCCCGAUGAAAGUUGGAUUAAUACCGCAUAUAGCUAUAUAGUUGCAUGAUUAUGUAGUGAAAGAUUUAUUGGUAUAGGAGGAGUCUGCGGCACAUUAGCUAGUAGGUGAGGUAAAGGCUUACCUAGGCGACGAUGUGUAGCCGGUCUGAGAGGAUGAACGGCCACAAUGGAACUGAGACACGGUCCAUACUCCUACGGGAGGCAGCAGUGGGGAAUAUUGCACAAUGGGGGAAACCCUGAUGCAGCAACGCCGCGUGAGUGAAGAAGGUUUUCGGAUUGUAAAGCUCUGUUAGCAGGGAAGAGGAAGGA
rnacentral:rRNA from 1 species